AGAAUCAAUUUAUGAGCAAGGAGUGAAAACUUCCUGGUGGUGUCAAAAAACAAUAUAAAUAUUAGGGACUUUCAACAGUAUAGAAGUGAAGGAGUAGCUGAUGGAUGGUAGAAGGCAAAGCACAUCCAGUAAAUUUUAACACGAUGUCAUCUCUAAUGGAAUAUAUUACAGCCGGGUUUAAAGGUCAAGUAAUUUACUGGUGCCCUUGGACUGGAAGUGGAAGCCCAGAGCACGGG